CCUACGGGAGGCAGCAGUCGAGAAUCUUUCACAAUGGGGGAAACCCUGAUGGUGCGACGCCGCGUGGGGGAAUGAAGUUCUUCGGAUUGUAAACCCCUUUCAUGUGGGAGCAAAUUAAAAAGAUAGUACCACAAGAGGAAGAGACUGCUAACGCUGUGCCAGCAGCCGCGGUAAUACAGAGGUCUCAAGCGUUGUUCGGAAUCACUGGGCGUAAAGGGUGCGUAGGCUGUUUCGUAAGUCGUGUGUGAAAGGCGCGGGCUCAACCCCCGGACGGCACAUGAUACUGCGAGACUAGAGUAAUGGAGGGGGAACCGGAAUUCGCGGUGUAGCAGUGAAAUGCGUAGAUAUCGAGAGGAACACUCGUGGCGAAGGCGGGUUCCUGGACAUUAACUGACGCUGAGGCACGAAGGCCAGGGGAGCGAAAGGGAUUAGAUACCCCUGUAGUC
rnacentral:rRNA from 1 species